UUUGUACUCCCUCCAUCCCAAAAUUCUUGUCUUAAAUUUGUCUAAAUAUGGAUGUAUCUAGUUACAUUUUAGUGUUAGAUACAUCUAUAUCUAAACAAAUGUAAGACAAGAAUUUUGGGACGGAGGGAGUACUAC
rnacentral:pre_miRNA from 1 species